UCCCUGGUGGUCUAGUGGUUAGGAUUUGGUGCUUUCACCCCUGCAGCCAGGGUUCGAUCCCUGGUCUGGGAA
rnacentral:tRNA from 1 species